rnacentral:ncRNA from 1 species
AGAGUAGCCAAGGUGCGUCAAGUGCUGCGAAACGGGACGUUGUUCGCAGACGAAAGGGGCAAAAAUCUCAGCAUUGCCUCUGCGGUGCCGCGGCGCGUCCGCU